rnacentral:rRNA from 1 species
ACGAACGCUGGCGGCACGCUUAACACAUGCAAGUCGAACGAGAGAAGAGGAGCUUGCUUUUCUGAUCUAGUGGCGGACGGGUGAGUAACACGUGAGCAAUCUGCCUUUCAGAGGGGGAUACCGAUUGGAAACGAUCGUUAAUACCGCAUAACAUAAUUGAACCGCAUGAUUUGAUUAUCAAAGAUUUAUCGCUGAAAGAUGAGCUCGCGUCUGAUUAGCUAGUUGGUAAGGUAACGGCUUACCAAGGCGACGAUCAGUAGCCGGACUGAGAGGUUGAUCGGCCACAUUGGGACUGAGACACGGCCCAGACUCCUACGGGAGGCAGCAGUGGGGAAUAUUGCACAAUGGAGGAAACUCUGAUGCAGCGAUGCCGCGUGAGGGAAGAAGGUUUUAGGAUUGUAAACCUCUGUCUUCAGGGACGAAAAAUGACGGUACCUGAGGAGGAAGCUCCGGCUAACUACGUGCCAGCAGCCGCGGUAAUACGUAGGGAGCGAGCGUUGUCCGGAAUUACUGGGUGUAAAGGGAGCGUAGGCGGGAUCGCAAGUCAGAUGUGAAAACUAUGGGCUUAACCCAUAAACUGCAUUUGAAACUGUGGUUCUUGAGUGAAGUAGAGGUAAGCGGAAUUCCUAGUGUAGCGGUGAAAUGCGUAGAUAUUAGGAGGAACAUCAGUGGCGAAGGCGGCUUACUGGGCUUUAACUGACGCUGAGGCUCGAAAGCGUGGGGAGCAAACAGGAUUAGAUACCCUGGUAGUCCACGCCGUAAACGAUGAUUACUAGGUGUGGGGGGACUGACCCCUUCCGUGCCGCAGCAAACGCAAUGAGUAAUCCACCUGGGGAGUACGACCGCAAGGUUGAAACUCAAAGGAAUUGACGGGGGCCCGCACAAGCAGUGGAGUAUGUGGAUUAAUUCGAAGCAACGCGAAGAACCUUACCAGGUCUUGACAUCGUAUGCAUAGCUCAGAGAUGAGUGAAAUCUCUUCGGAGACAUAUAGACAGGUGGUGCAUGGUUGUCGUCAGCUCGUGUCGUGAGAUGUUGGGUUAAGUCCCGCAACGAGCGCAACCCUUACUGUUAGUUGCUACGCAAGAGCACUCUAGCAGGACUGCCGUUGACAAAACGGAGGAAGGUGGGGAUGACGUCAAAUCAUCAUGCCCCUUAUGACCUGGGCCUCACACGUACUACAAUGGCUGUCAACAGAGGGAAGCAAAGCCGCGAGGUGGAGCAAACCCCUAAAAGCAGUCUUAGUUCGGAUUGUAGGCUGCAACCCGCCUACAUGAAGUCGGAAUUGCUAGUAAUCGCAGAUCAGCAUGCUGCGGUGAAUACGUUCCCGGGCCUUGUACACACCGCCCGUCACGCCAUGGGAGUCGGUAACACCCGAAGCCUGUAGUCUAACCGCAAGGAGGACGCAGUCGAAGGUGGGAUUGAUGACUGGGGUG